UAUAAAAUAGAGCUUUCAAUUUAACAGUGAUAAGCGAAAUUUUAUUGAUUUGAUUUUUUAAUCACUUAAUUCAGGUAAACUAACUCAGUAUUUUUCUUUUUCUUUUUCUUUUUUUUUUUGAGGAAGAUUAGCCCUGAGCUAACUGCUGCCAAUCCUCCUCUUUUUACUGAAGAAGACUGGCCCUGAGCUAACAUCCGUGCCCAUCUUCCUCCACUUUAUACAUGGGACGCCUACCACAGCAUGGCUUGCCAAGCGGUGCCAUGUCUGCACCCGGAAUCCUGAAUGGCGAACCCCUGGCCGCUGAAGCAGAACAUUCGCACUUAACCACUGUGCCACCGGGCUGGCCCCUAACUCUGUAUUUUUCAAUGUGGCCCUUAAACCAACUACAUGAGCUACAUGACCUGAUUCCCUGGGUCCAGGACAGCACUACUGAAACAGUCUCAGACUAAUUGUACUGCAACUUUCAUCCCUGAGAAGCAUCCUUUGAAGACUGUUCUAAAGUGAAUGUGAAUCCAGUGGGAGCUGUGCUGUCACUUAGGUUUAGUCGAUGGCACCUGACCUGAUGGAAUAAACAUGCUAAGGUUGCCUGUAACUGGUUCCGA
rnacentral:lncRNA from 1 species